rnacentral:rRNA from 1 species
UACAGAGGGUGCGAGCGUUAAUCGGAAUUACUGGGCGUAAAGCGCGCGUAGGCGGCUUUGCAAGUCGGGUGUGAAAUCCCCAGGCUUAACCUGGGAACUGCAUUCGAGACUGCAUUGCUAGAGUAUGGGAGAGGGAAGUGGAAUUUCCGGUGUAGCGGUGAAAUGCGUAGAUAUCGGAAGGAACAUCAGUGGCGAAAGCGACUUCCUGGACCAAUACUGACGCUCAUGUGCGGAAAGCGUGGGGAGCAAACAGGAUUGAGA